rnacentral:rRNA from 1 species
GACGAACGCUGGCGGCGUGCCUAAUACAUGCAAGUAGAACGCUGAAGGAGGAGCUUGCUUCUCCGGAUGAGUUGCGAACGGGUGAGUAACGCGUAGGUAACCUGCCUGGUAGCGGGGGAUAACUAUUGGAAACGAUAGCUAAUACCGCAUAACAGUAGAUAUCGCAUGAUAUCUGCUUGAAAGGUGCAAUUGCAUCACUACCAGAUGGACCUGCGUUGUAUUAGCUAGUUGGUGAGGUAACGGCUCACCAAGGCGACGAUACAUAGCCGACCUGAGAGGGUGAUCGGCCACACUGGGACUGAGACACGGCCCAGACUCCUACGGGAGGCAGCAGUAGGGAAGCUUCGGCAAUGGACGGAAGUCUGACCGAGCAACGCCGCGUGAGUGAAGAAGGUUUUCGGAUCGUAAAGCUCUGUUGUAAGAGAAGAACGAGUGUGAGAGUGGAAAGUUCACACUGUGACGGUAGCUUACCAGAAAGGGACGGCUAACUACGUG